rnacentral:rRNA from 1 species
GAUGAACGCUGGCGGCGUGCCUAAUACAUGCAAGUCGAGCGAACAGACGAGGAGCUUGCUCCUCUGACGUUAGCGGCGGACGGGUGAGUAACACGUGGAUAACCUACCUAUAAGACUGGGAUAACUUCGGGAAACCGGAGCUAAUACCGGAUAAUAUAUUGAACCGCAUGGUUCAAUAGUGAAAGACGGUUUUGCUGUCACUUAUAGAUGGAUCCGCGCCGCAUUAGCUAGUUGAUAAGGUAACGGCUUACCAAGGCAACGAUGAGUAGCCGACCUGAGAGGGUGAUCGGCCACACUGGAACUGAGACACGGUCCAGACUCCUACGGGAGGCAGCAGUAGGGAAUCUUCCGCAAUGGGCGAAAGCUUGACGGAGCAACGCCGCGUGAGUGAUGAAGGUCUUCGGAUCGUAAAACUCUGUUAUUAGGGAAGAACAAAUGUGUAAGUAACUAUGCACGUCUUGACGGUACCUAAUCAGAAAGCCACGGCUAACUACGUG